GUUCCUGUAGCUUAAAACAAAGCAUAGCACUGAAGAUGCUAAGAUGGCCACCCCAUAUGCCCAAGAACA
rnacentral:tRNA from 1 species